GGCUCAAUGGUCUAGUGGUAUGAUUCUUGCUUUGGGUAGUUUAAUACUCCGUGCUGCAAGAGGUCCUUGGUACGGGUCAGCCACGCAGUUCACACAAUGCUUCUACGGAUGCUGACAAAUGGUUAGGUUCAAUUCCGAGUUGAGCCC
rnacentral:tRNA from 1 species